UAUUCUACCAGUAUUGUCUGUGUUAAUUAAAAGAUGCACAUAUAGUUUGCUAGUAAUACAUUUACAUUAUAAAAAUGAACAUUGUCCCAAAAAAAUGACAGAUGUUAAAAUUAUAUUAUAGGCACCAAAAAGGGGAAAAGGUUAUACAUGUGUUGGAGGGAAAAAGCAAGCCAACCAAGCUGCCCUUUCAUUUCAAGACAAAAUUAUCUAUGACCAUUUCUUCAUUAUACGUUCAGAUAACCUGCAUUCUUCCUCCUUGGAAACAUGUGGAUCAAGCUCAUGAAGGCUGCUAACAAACAUGCUUGCAUCUGCCCGACGAUUAUGUUUACAGUACCCAUCUACAAUUGAGUUGUAUGUAUUCUGGUUUCGCUUACAGCCAUUCUUGAUCAUGUAUUUAACAACAUCAAUAGCCUCCUCAAACAUAGAAUCAGCUGCAUAACUUGCAACAAAUGUAUUAUAUGUAAUGACGUCUGGAACAAGCCCAGAAUCCCUCAUUUCUGAGAAUAUCCGUGAAGCCUCUUUCAUCCGACCAUUUCGACAAUAUGCAAAAAUAACAGUAUUGAAUGAUAUUAUAUCAGGCUUUAAUCCUUUGGCAAUGAUGUCCUUUAAAAU
rnacentral:misc_RNA from 1 species